rnacentral:rRNA from 1 species
AGUGAACGCUGGCGGUAGGCCUAACACAUGCAAGUCGAACGGCAGCACAGUAAGAGCUUGCUCUUACGGGUGGCGAGUGGUGGACGGGUGAGGAAUACAUCGGAAUCUACUUUUUCGUGGGGGAUAACGUAGGGAAACUUACGCUAAUACCGCAUACGACCUACGGGUGAAAGCAGGGGAUCUUCGGACCUUGCGCGAUUGAAUGAGCCGAUGUCGGAUUAGCUAGUUGGCGGGGUAAAGGCCCACCAAGGCGACGAUCCGUAGCCGGUCUGAGAGGAUGAUCAGCCACACUGGAACUGAGACACGGUCCAGACUCCUACGGGAGGCAGCAGUGGGGAAUAUUGGACAAUGGGCGCAAGCCUGAUCCAGCCAUACCGCGUGGGUGAAGAAGGCCUUCGGGUUGUAAAGCCCUUUUGUUGGGAAAGAAAAGCAGCAGGUUAAUACCCCGCUGUUCUGACGGUACCCAAAGAAUAAGCACCGGCUAACUUCGUG